rnacentral:rRNA from 1 species
GAUGAACGCUGGCGGCGUGCCUAAUACAUGCAAGUCGAGCGAACAGACGAGGAGCUUGCCCCCCUGACGUUAGCGGCGGACGGGUGAGUAACACGUGGAUAACCUACUUAUAAGACUGGGAUAACUUCGGGAAACCGGAGCUAAUACCGGAUAAUAUAUUGAACCGCAUGGUUCAAUAGUGAGAUACGGUUUUGCUGUCACUUAUAGAUGGAUCCGCGCCGCAUUAGCUAGUUGGUAAUGUAACGGCUUACCAAGGCGACGAUGCGUAGCCGACCUGAGAGGGUGAUCGGCCACACUGGAACUGAGACACGGUCCAGACUCCUACGGGAGGCAGCAGUAGGGAAUCUUCCGCAAAGGGCGAGAGCCUGACGGAGCAACGCCGCGUGAGUGAUGAAGGUCUUCGGAUCGUAAAGCUCUGUUAUUAGGGAAGAACAAAUGUGUAAGUAACUAUGCACGUCUUGACGGUACCUAAGCAGAAAGCCACGGCUAACUACGUG